rnacentral:rRNA from 1 species
CCUACGGGCGGCAGCAGUGAGGAAUAUUGGUCAAUGGACGAGAGCCUGAACCAGCCAAGUAGCGUGAAGGAUGACUGCCCUAUGGGUUGUAAACUUCUUUUAUAUGGGAAUAAAAUGUUCCACGUGUGGGAUUUUGUAUGUACCAUAUGAAUAAGGAUCGGCUAACUACGUUCCAGCAGCCGCGGUAAUACGGAGGAUCCGAGCGUUAGCCGGAUUUAUUGGGUUUAAAGGGAGCGUAGGUGGAUUGUUAAGUCAGUUGUGAAAGUUUGCGGCUCAACCGUAAAAUUGCAGUUGAAACUGGCAGUCUUGAGUACAGUAGAGGUGGGCGGAAUUCGUGGUGUAGCGGUGAAAUGCUUAGAUAUCACGAAGAACUCCGAUUGCGAAGGCAGCUCACUGGACUGCAACUGACACUGAGGCUCGAAAGUGUGGGUAUCAAACAGGAUUAGAUACCCGAGUAGUC